ensembl:ncRNA M01D7.11 ncRNA
UCCUGUCUAUACUCAUUUAUCAUCACAAAAAGUCGGUUUUCACAUCCUUCCCUACCCAUCAACCUAGUUUCCGGCAUGCAAAAACACCACCUAGUCU